GCGGGAAUAGCUCAGUGGUAGAGCGUCUGCUUCCCAAGCAGAAAGUCGCGGGUUCGAGUCCCGUUUCCCGCU
rnacentral:tRNA from 1 species